ACAGGAUAGAGCGGGCCCCAAAACGACACUUUCUGGGUGGUUGAUGAGACAAAGUAUGAAGACGUUUGACACGAGUCAACAGCAGCUGUGCUUGUGUAGUCAACUUCUAUACUCAUUGAGCCAACCGGGUUAUUCGCACAGGCACGAAAAGAAGUUUUUUCCCCCGCACUACAGCAAUACUGUACAUACUUCGAACGCCUGUCUUACAUAUACACAGGAACCAAUGAUGCGGUAUGCUUGUAAUAUGAAUUACAUGUACCGAUCAAGCAGGGAACGAUACUUUUGAUGUUUCUACAAGCAGCUAGAACCCGGUUUUGAGAGGUUUCGCUUAGCGGCUUGGCACUCAUCUCAUAUGCAUACGAUGACAGAGAUCACUGACACAUGGACUCUCACUCUCAUGGACCAGACGGAACAUGUUAAAAACAGAGAGUUUGCAAGAAAAAGAUGGACGGAGAUUCUAGGGAGAGGUCCUGGGAGGGAACGGAAUAAGACAUGUCAGCACACUCCUGCUUCUGAUCACUACGCUGAGCUCUACGUACUGAGUUGGACUUUCUCAUCAACUUGUGUUAUGACCCCACUAUCUGACACAGUGAACAAGAAAGCCUGGGUUUUCUGAUACGGGGCUCUGCGGAAAUUGCUAACUCUUCAUCCCGAGCGGCAUGACACAACUAUGGGGCUCGUUACCUAGGGAAGUCAACGUUGGCAAUAAUGUCAGCAGAUCUUCCAGACCAUCUCCAGUUUUGCCUAUAUAUAUAUCCUGCAAAGUCCGCAUCUACUAAAUAUGCUCAUCCCAAACCUUUAUUCAAAGUCCAACAAACUUAUCAACUACAUUCCAGUGUUUACUCCUCAACAGAUC
rnacentral:misc_RNA from 1 species